rnacentral:rRNA from 1 species
UGGGGAAUCUUCCGCAAUGGACGAAAGUCUGACGGAGCAACGCCGCGUGAGUGAAGACGGCCUUCGGGUUGUAAAGCUCUGUGAUCCGGGACGAAAGAGCCUGAGGUAAAUAGCCUAAGGAAGUGGCGGUACCGGAAAAGCAAGCCACGGCUAACUACGUGCCAGCAGCCGCGGUAAUACGUAGGUGGCAAGCGUUGUCCGGAAUUAUUGGGCGUAAAGCGCGCGCAGGCGGCUUACUAAGUCCAUCUUAAAAGUGCGGGGCUUAACCCCGUGAUGGGAUGGAAACUGGAAAGCUGGAGUAUCGGAGAGGAAAGUGGAAUUCCUAGUGUAGCGGUGAAAUGCGUAGAGAUUAGGAAGAACACCGGUGGCGAAGGCGGCUUUCUGGACGAGCACUGACGCUGAGGCGCGAAAGCGUGGGGAGCGAACAGG